rnacentral:rRNA from 1 species
UACGUAGGGGGCAAGCGUUGUCCGGAUUUAUUGGGCGUAAAGAGCGUGUAGGCGGCCAGACAGGUCCGUUGUGAAAACUCGAGGCUCAACCUCGAGACGUCGAUGGAAACCGUCUGGCUAGAGUCCGGAAGAGGAGUGUGGAAUUCCUGGUGUAGCGGUGAAAUGAUGUAGAUAUCGGGAGGAACACCAGUGGCGAAGGCGGCGACCUGG